GAUGAACGCUGGCGGCGUGCCUAAUACAUGCAAGUCGAGCGAAUGGAUUAAGAGCUUGCUCUUAUGAAGUUAGCGGCGGACGGGUGAGUAACACGUGGGUAACCUGCCCAUAAGACUGGGAUAACUCCGGGAAACCGGGGCUAAUACCGGAUAACAUUUUGAACCGCAUGGUUCGAAAUUGAAAGGCGGCUUCGGCUGUCACUUAUGGAUGGACCCGAGUCGCAUUAGCUAGUUGGUGAGGUAACGGCUCACCAAGGCAACGAUGCGUAGCCGACCUGAGAGGGUGAGCGGCCACACUGGGACUGAGACACGGCCCAGACUCCUACGGGAGGCAGCAGUAGGGAAUCUUCCGCAAUGGACGAAAGUCUGACGGAGCAACGCCGCGUGGGUGAUGAAGGCUUUCGGGUCGUAAAACUCUGUUGUUAGGGAAGAACAAGUGCUAGUUGAAUAAGCUGGCACCUUGACGGUACCUAACCAGAAAGCCACGGCUAACUACGUGCCAGCAGCCGCCGUAA
rnacentral:rRNA from 1 species